ACUUCCUUCGUCUGAUUGGUUGCCCCAGCGACACGUUGGGCCAAGAGCGGUGUUGGGUACCAGAGAGACGGGAAGUCACUUCCUCCCGGAGACGCUGUUUCCUAGCAACCUCCCUCCGCCUCUGUUAUUAGUCCCUCCUCCUCGAUUGGUCCAGGACCUGCUCUGCCGGCGCUGCCAGGCCCAGUCAGGCCAAGCCACUAUCAGAAGUUGAAUUAUUCUAACCAUUAGCUAUUUUAUAAAGGUAAAGAGAUAAAAAUACAGUAUGUCUGAUGAAGUUUUUAGCACCACUUUGGCAUAUACAAAGAGUCCAAAAGUUACCAAAAGAACUACUUUCCAGGAUGAGCUAAUAAGAGCAAUUACAGCUCGCUCAGCCAGACAAAGGAGUUCUGAAUACUCAGAUGACUUUGACAGUGAUGAGAUUGUUUCCUUAGGUGAUUUUUCCGACACUUCAGCAGAUGAAAAUUCAGUUAAUAGAAAAAUGAAUGACUUUCAUAUAUCAGAUGAUGAAGAAAAGAAUCCUUCAAAACUAUCUUUUUUGAAAACCAAGAAACCAAACAGUAACAUAACCAAAGAUGAGCUAGUAUGUGCCAUCAAAAAUGAUAAGGAGACAGCACCUGAAGGGUGUGAAGACAUUGUUGUAAAAUCCUCUGAAUCUCAAAAUAAGGACGAGGAAUUUGAAAAAGACAAAAUAAAAAUGAAACCUAAACCCAGAGUUCGUUCAAUUAAAAGCACAUCUUCAGCGGAAAACAACAGCCUUGACACAGAUGAUCACUUUAAACCAUCACCUCGGCCAAGGACUAUGUUAAAAAAGAAUAGCCACAGAGAGGAGACAGAUGGACUAGAAGAUAAAGAAACUGCCCUCGGUGAAGAAUUGGAGUUACAUUCUUCACCCUCUUCCCUUCCAAUGCCGAAUGGCACACAAUUAGAAGCUGAGAAAAAAGCAUUCUCUGAAAACCUUGAUGCUGAGGAUUCAUGCUUAACAAGUCUAUCAUCGUCAUCUCUUAAACAAAUUCUUGGAGAUUCUUUUUCACCAGGAUCUGACGGAAAUGCAUCCAUAAAAGAUCCAAAUGAAGAAAUCACUGAAAACCAUAAUUCCUUGAAAUCAGAUGAAAAUGAAGAGCAUUCAAUUUCAGCAGACCAUGUCACUACUGCAUUUGAGAAAUCCAAGGAAAGUCAGGUGACUGCUGAUGACCUUGAAGAAGAAAAGGAGAAAGCUGAACUGAUUAUGGAUGGUGACAGAACAGUUGAUCCACUGCUAUCUAAAUCUCAGAGUAUCUUAAUACCUGCUAGUUCAACAGUGUCUGCAAAGAAAACAAUUGAAGAUAGAAAUAUGAAGAAUAAAAAGUCAACAAAUAAUAGAGCAUCCAGUGCAUCUGCCAGAUUAAUGACCUCUGAGUUUCUGAAGAAAUCUAGUUCUAAAAGGAGAACUCCACCAACAACUCCCUCUUCUCACUAUUUAGGGACUUUAAAAGUCUUGGACCAAAAACCUUCACAGAAACAGAGCAUAGAAUCUGAUAGAGCAGAUAACAUAAGAGCAGCUGUUUAUCAGGAGUGGUUAGAAAAGAAAAAUGUGUAUUUACAUGAAAUGCACAGAAUAAAAAGAAUUGAAAGUGAAAACUUAAGGAUCCAAAAUGAACAGAAAAGAGCUGCUAAAAGAGAAGAAGCAUUAGCAUCAUUUGAGGCCUGGAAGGCUAUGAAAGAAAAGGAAGCAAAGAAAAUAGCCGCCAAAAAGAGGCUUGAAGAAAAAAACAAGAAGAAAACUGAAGAAGAAAAUGCUGUGAGGAAAGAAGAAGCACUACAGGUAUUUGAGAGCUUUGCACAUCUUAAUUAUUUAAAAAUAUUUGAAAUCCAAUUAAUGCUUAACCAUAUUUUUAUUUAUUUUUAAAUAUUCACAGUAAGAACAUUAUUCUGAACUUUUUCAGGCUUUUGAAAAAUGGAAAGAGAAAAAGAUGGAAUAUCUUAAAGAGAAAAACAGAAAGGAGAGAGAAUAUGAAAGAGCAAAGAAACAGAAAGAGGAGGAGACUGUUGCCGAGAAAAAGAAAGACAAUUUAACUGCUGUUGAAAAAUGGAAUGAGAAGAAGGAAGCUUUUUUCAAGCAAAAGGAAAAGGAAAAAAUAAAUGAGAAAAGAAAAGAAGAACUGAAAAGAGCUGAGAAAAAAGAUAAGGAUAAACAAGCUAUUGAUGAAUAUGAAAAAUGGCUGAGGCAGGUUUCACCAAGGGUUUUCCUGCUCCGUGAGGAAUAUGAGAAAAUUGCCAAGAUGAAGAAACCACCAAACAAACUUAAAGUGUUAGCAGGGACAUAAAGAAAUAGACAAUCCAAAUUGUAAGUUGGAAAGAGCAGAUGCUACUAAUAUUUCAAGUACACCUAGGAAAAUAAGGAAAGGCAGGAAAGAAUUGAACGAAAACAAAAGAAACGUCAUUCCUUUCUUGAAAGUGAGGCACUUCCUCCGUGGAGCCCUCCAAGCAGAACCGUGUUUGCGAAAGGAUUUUGAUAAUUCUAGUUCUUACAUUAUUUAGUAAUUUAUCGAUUUGCCAAUAUUAGCCACAGAUUUAAAACCAUUCAAUUAUUUAUAGUUAGAGGAAUGUAUUUUACUUAAAUGCCAGGCACUUCUGCUGACAAAGAGAUAUUUUGGAGUGUAAUCAGUGAAAGCAUUUUUUGAACUGUAGAAAAACUGACUCAAAUGAAGACCUAAUAAUCAGAUUGCUUUUACCAUUAAGAUACAAAGUUUAAUCAUGUCCUGAUAAUUCUUAUAGUGGAAUGAUUCAUGAUCUUUUUCACUAAGCUCUGUAUGUUAUUUAAGUAUAUUUAAUUCCAGUAAUAAAAAGGAAACCAUUUAGGUACCAUAAUGAUAGAAAUGAUUCCGUUUGUGGAUGAUUGUGAAUCUAGAUUCAGGUUUUGAAAUGAGUGGUCGCUAGGAAGUAUGCAUGUAGUAUUCUUUCUGAAACUGAUGUUUAGCUCAAAGCAGUUACAUUUGUACUGUACAAGUUAGAAUUUUGAUCAGCUGAGGCAGUAGUUCAGCAGAACUGUAAUCAUCAAAGCUUUUUAUUUAGGAACUUUGCCUUAUGUUUUAAUAUGAGUAUACUUUAUCUGUUCCAGGCUCAUGUGACAAUCGUUGGCACUAUAAUGAGUCCACCUCUGAAAUUUUUCUUUCUGAAUUCUACCUCACUUUAUUAUUUCAGUGACACAAAAAGACAUUAAUGUCACAGAAGUGACAUACUUAUGUAUUAUGGAAAUUCCACAGGAGUUCAAGGUUAUUAUCACUAUAAUUAUUUUCCAGACUAAAGCCAUAAAGGUGAUUUAGGCAAUUAUUGUAUUCUUAGCUAGUCCAGUUUUAUAGCUUAUAUUCAGAAGACAGCUGUAUGGGAAGGUAAAUAUGUUGACAAUGCCCACAAAACGUUUAUUUGUUUAUUUAUGUGAUCUCUGCAUGUUCUUGUAUUAAUUGGUCUCAUACUUGACCUGGUCAUCUAGUUUAACAUAGACCAAGUGUAUGCUCUUGGAGUUGAAAUGCAGCAUUAGUCAAUAAUGCAAUGCAGAGAUGAUAGAUAAGAAUACACAGUUACUAUUUAUUGAGAAUCUAAUAUAUAAUAUAUACUGGAUCUUUACAAAUGUAUUUAACAUCUUUCUACCAACUUUUCAGGGUAGGUGUUAUUAGCUUCACCUUACAGAUAAAAAUAGUGACACUCAGAUAAAUCAAGUAACUUGCCAUUCCAUUUGGAGUAUGCCUGAAUUGGGAUCAAACAGGAUUCAGUCUCUCUUACUGAAUCUGCUUCUUUCUGGAAUCCCUGUGCUCUUUUUCACACUUCUGUGUGGCCUCAGAGACUGCUAAGUUCAGUCAAGACCUCUGCGUAUUAUCAACGUCACAAACACGUUUUAACAUUUAGAGCCUAAAAUCAGGUACUGUUAUCCAGAGAUGAUCUUUCUCUACCGAGAUAGCUGUUUUGUUGUUAGAGAUAGUGGGUGUCAUUAAAUCUAUAAAAUGGAAUAAAAAAUUCGUAAGAUUUAAGGAGUUACUUAGACAUCUUAUACCUACUAUCAGAAUAUCAGAAAACUCAGCACGUUAUGUGACAAAGGCUUUGAGAUGGUCACUCCAGACGUUCCACACACUGAGCAUCAGCCUUCUUGCUGCAGUGCAUGCACAAGACAAGAAAGAUGUCAUAAACGGCUUUGUAAGAUUGUAUCAGUACCAUAGACAAUUAAGAGAAAUUUCAUAGAUAAAACUAGAAGUCUUUUUAUAUGGCCAGAAGUAUAAUACUUUAUGAAAUUGAACUAGUUAUCAGCAAUCUGUAGUAUCAGCAUGGAAUUUAGGGCAUCUCUUACUCAUUUCUGUAACCCCCAUAGUAUCAAACACAGUGCCUGCCAAAAUAGAUUAAGUGUUUAUUGUAUUAGCUGUUUAGACCUAAAAAGAUAUUUGCAAACUUCA